GAUUGACAUCAGCCUGUGGCUUCCACACAAAUGCUUAUGUGUUCCUGCCUGUGUGCGCAUGUGCACACACACACACACACACACACAUUAGUGCAAUACCCACACACACACACAUAAAGAAUGUACAAGCCCUGGUGGGGAGCACAGCUGACCAGUUCUGUGGAAGCAUGGGAGCACGUUAGUUACCUUUUUUGGUUGUUGUGAGAAAAAGCCCAAGGAAAGGAGAUCAAAGAAGCAAGGAGGAGGGGUCGGCUCACAAGCAGUUCAGUCCCUUUGACAGGACAGUCACCCUGCACGCAUUGUCACGGCCAAGAGGGGUGAAUGCUUACUCUCCAUUCACGCUCUCUUUCCUGCUCAGCCUGGGACUGCAGCCCAUGGGGUGGUGCUACCCAUAUUUAGACUUGGUCUUUUCACCUCAAACUAACCCAGUCUAAAAAGUUUCUCAUAGACAGGUAGGCCCAGACCAGACGUUUGUUUCCAUAGUGACCCCAAUCCCAUCUAGUUAGCCAUUUUCAAACCGUCACCCAGACGCAAGGAGAGUUUAAUGGAAACAGCAGGAAGAUGGGGAGCUGCAGGGUUCCCCAGUGCUGAGGCCAAGGUUUCUGCAGUCACUGCUUUGGUCUUCUUGAGCCACUGAAGGACCCUGAACCAGGAAGGACACAAUCAGAAAGAAACAGGAAACAAUCUCAUAGCUGGUGAUCAUUUAGUGAUAGGACUCCAGCGUCAAGCGACAAGGGUUUGACUCCCUGUCUAUCAUUAACUAAUGGGACAAUCAAGGGACUGGUUACAUUCCUUCUCUGUGUCUCUGCAGAACAGUCGUGUCUUUCUUAUAUCAUUAAUGGGCAGCAGUGAGCUCAUGUUUUUAGGGUACACACUAAGUGCUGAGGAUGUCAGGGGCUACAGGUGCAGCUUAGCAGCAAAGCACUUACCCAGCAUGCUUCAGGCCCUGUGUUCUAUCCUCCAGGCUGUACAAAACAAAUAAAAGCCAGUGUUGUGUCUUGCAUUAAAAUCUUUGCGUUGUGAGCUGGGCAUGGUGGCACAUACCUUUAUACCAAAUGCCAGCAUUUGGGAAGCAGAGGCAGGCAGAUCUCAUUCCAAGGCCAACCUGGGCUACAGGGUGAGUUCCAGAACAGCCAGGGCUAAAUACACAGAGAAAGCCUGUCUAGGAAAAACAAAACAAAACAAAACAAUCUUUGUACUUCACCCUGAAGUUUUUCUACAAAGAGUCAACUGUUUGCAAACACUUAGAUAAUGGAUUGUUAAUCUCAUUUAACAGGUGGAAGUAUAUAGCUUUUCUUCCAAUUUUUUUGAAAGAAAUUUCACUCUUUGGGGUACAUGCUUAGUGUCUCAUUUUACAGUAGUGCACACAUUAUGUUCACAGUCUCAUGAAGAGGAACUUGCAAGCAGGCUCAAUUACUUUUAUAUAUUUGGUUUUUUUCAAUUGUUUUCAUAGAAUCUGCUUUGAUCACACUCUUCCCCUCCCCAACUCCUCGAAAUUCUCACAUCCCCACCCACCCAGUGUUGCCUUUGUUCUUUCUCCCUCUCCAUCCCUCAGAUAAAAAGCAAAAGCAAGCAAAAAGCAUUAACCAAAAAGCACACGACACGAGGGUGCGGGUAUACACACUCACACCCACACCAUGAAGUCUGUUUUGUGUUGCCCAACCAGUCCUGCCCUGGAGUGUGGUGGAGAUACCGGACCGACUUUGGAGAAAACUGAUUUUCCCCUUGCUAGCCGGGAUCAGUUGCAAAUGUCUUCUUGGUAGGGGCGGGGCUGUGUCCACUUCCCCUCCAUGCUGAGAUCCUGUCUGGUAAGAAUGUGGAUUUGAAUCUCAGACUCACACAACCUGUCAUGAUCUGAGCCAUCAGCUCUGAAUCACAGGUCAGCCAUCCCAGCCCAAGUCCAGCACUGGCUCUUAGUUCAAAUUCUCAGAGUCUCCAGAGUAGAACAAAAAAAAAAAAAAAAGGGAAGUGGCAGAAACAUCGGAAAUUUCUGUUUAUAACACAGGGAGACUGUACUAAGGAACAGGGGUAAAGUCAGAUGGAGGAAGAUAAAACUUUUGUGAACUCCUGGAAGUUUAUGCAUGAUAUCAAAUGUAAAAUAUAAACAGGAUGUGUGUACGUAUACACACCCACAUGUACGCAUAGGUGCACACAUGCUCCGGAAUUAUUUCUUACUAAUAAAGUUUGGAAAACAUAGCUACCCUGUUAAGUUUGACUCUACUCAAAACUUAAAACUGAGUGUCAUCCUGUUUCCAGAAAUAAGUCAGCCAUUCCAGUGGAUUCCUGCCUGCAGAGGGCCUCUCAGUCAGCUUGGUGCCUGCAGUCUGCCGCCAAGAUCCCAAGUCCUGUGACCCAGGCAGAGGUUCUGGGAGGAGCCGACGGCCAUCUCUUUCACCAGGAGAACCAAGUAGCUCCCUUAACCUCAGCCUCAUGACCAUGUUUCAGCACUGUCUUAGACUUGGCUUUUCAGACUCAGUUCUGCUUCACACACUCAGUUCUGCGAUCACGCGAGGAAGGGAGCUUAUUAGUAAAUCCGUGUGGAGACCACAGCCCACACCAUCAGUGAGAAUCAGCGUGGGACCACUUAUUCCUGGGGACACCUGAACAUCAACAAGGCAGGUGACUGACCCCAAGGACUCUCAGCACAACACAGACAGCAAGAAAAAAAAAAAUCAAAAGGGGUAUUUAAAUACAGUAAUAUUUAUCAUUACAUCAUUUUAAGAGGAAACAACUCUUCUAGGCCAUGAAAAACUCAUAGAAGAUUUUAAUUCUAAUUGUGGUGUGUAAGAGGUGGAACCAAAUGAACCUUUAGGAGUUGACUAGGGCACUUGGGCAGCAAGGUGGCUCCGGCACUAACCACUGAGCUGACAACCCAGGGUUAAGCCCCAGAACCCAGGGUGGAAAGACCGAUCCAGUUCCCACAAGGUAUUCUCAGAUUUCCAUAUAUACACCAUGCACCCUCCCCUCCCCCCAAUCAAUAAAUAAACAU
rnacentral:lncRNA from 1 species